AAUUCAAUGGAAUCGACGGGCUGCCUCCAAAUGGAAAAGAGUUGACGGGCUGCCUCCAAUAUGAUUAGCUUUUACCCCGGGAGGAUGAUGGUACCUGAAGAAUAAGCACCGGCUAACUACGUGCCAGCAGCCGCGGUAAUACGUAGGGUGCGAGCGUUAAUCGGAAUUACUGGGCGUAAAGCGUGCGCAGGCGGCUUUGCAAGACAGAUGUGAAAUCCCCGGGCUCAACCUGGGAACUGCAUUUGUGACUGCAAGGCUACAGUACGGCAGAGGGGGAUGGAAUUCCGCGUGUACCAGUGAAAUGCGUAGAUCUGCGGAGGAACACCAAUGGCGAAGGCAAUCCCCUGGGCCUGUACUGACGCUCAUGCACGAAAGCGUGGGGAGCAAACAGGAUUAGAUACCCUGGUAGUCCACGCCCUAAACGAUGUCAACUGGUUGUUGGACGGCUUGCUGUUCAGUAACCAAGCUAACGCGUGAAGUUGACCGCCUGGGGAGUACGGCCGCAAGGUUGAAACUCAAA
rnacentral:rRNA from 1 species